GUGAGAUUUGGGCACGCUUCCUGGCUUUCGAAAGUAAUAUUGGAGAUUUAGCAAGUAUACUGAAAGUGGAGAAAAGGAGAUACACGGCAUUCAAGGAGGAAUACGAAGGGAAGGAGACAGCGCUGCAUGUGGAUAGAUACAAGUUUAUGGAUUUGUACCCCUGCUCCACAAGUGAACUGAAAGCUUUUUGGAUACAAGGAUGUAUCAAGAGCCAAACUGGCAGCACUUCUCCCCGACCCUGUGGUAGCUCCAUCAAUAGCCCCUUCUCUGAAUGAUGAUGCUGGCCGAAAACCAGAGUACCCCAAACCCGAUACAAGUCAGAUGAUCCUUUUCCAGCCCCGAUAUUUAGCUCCACCUGGACUCCAUCCUGUUCCUGGUGGUGUAUUCCCAGUCCCCCCCAGCUGCAGUGGUCUUAAUGAAGCUGCUUCCUCCCCCCAUUUGCUUCCAGCAGUGGAAGAGGCAGUGAGGAUCAUUACUGGAAACCAGGCAGAGAUUCGCAAAACACCACCGGCAUCUCCAACGAGGACUCUGACGAUGAAGAAGAGAAGGGCUCUGUGGUCCCUCCCGUCCAUGACAUAUACAGAACCCGGCAGCAGAAGAGAAUCCUGUAUAGAUUCUUUCUUAGAAAUUUCAGAAAAUACAAAUUCCAAAUGAGAAACUUUUUACUGAACAUUUACACCAUCAAACCUUGUGCUAUAAGAACCUUCUAUCGUUCCCAGCGUUUUGCAGACUAAUCUGCGUAAUCUACGGUACAACUCCGGAAAUCAACUUCCUUUUUCUUCAUCUGUAUUUUUAUGUGCAGCUGGAAACUGAACAGCUUUGGAAUUGUAAUAGUUUGGUUUUUUUAACUUAUUUCUUCAGUUACAAUUGUUGGCCAGUUUGCCUGGCCUUUUUCCUGCCUCUUUUAUUUUAUUGUCAGAAGAAGAAGGCAAAUAAAAAAAAAAACUAUAUAAAAUAAAUAAUGGAGACUUAUUGAAAAAGUUUACAAAAACCAGGCAACCCUAAAAGUGACCUAAUAUUUACAAUAGAGGCAAAAGUAAAAACGUACUAUUCUAAGUAUAGUACAGUAUCCCUUUAACGAUAGACUCAGGCCCUCUAUUAUCAGCCUUUUAGGCUCAGACAGGCCUGCUACUGAAUCACUUUCCAGCAGAAAGUCUGACGUGUAAAUGGGAGGAGCGUCUUAUCCAUGUUUAAAACUUUAUUAGGAAAAUGUAAAACUCUCUUUGCUAAUGUCCUUUAUUUUAGUAUUAAUGUUUGUUUUAAAAGCUCUACAAAGUUCCAUGUUUCUAAUCAUCUAAUGUCUAGUUCAGCUAAAUAUGUCACUAUCUAAUUAUCUAAUAUAACUGUCUAAUGAAAAACAGAAACAAUGUUCAUUUCUGUUCAUUUUAUUGGAAAAAUAAAAAAAACAAAUGGCACACUUUAGUUUAGGAUUUAGUUUUGUCUUGUUAGUAGU